GAGCAUCACCCCAGAACCCGACCUCAAGACCAUCGCCCCUCCCCCGCGGGGCUUUCCGAGGGCCGGACACCCUGCCCUCCAAGCCCCCACGGCGGCUCCCUCUCCUGCGGGUCCCCUGCCCAUCCUCCAGCAGACUCCCCUCCCAUUCCUCCCCCCGCCCCGACAGCCUCCCUGGCAGCGGUCCCUGCACCGCUCCCCUCUCCCUCGCCCUCCGCCUUCCGCCCUCUCUCCCCACCGGAGCUGGCUGGCUCCCCAGCUCCGCCCCCGGUCCCGCCCCUGCCCACAGCCCGCCCGCUCCACCCCUCCUGGCCCCGCCGGGGUCUGCGCUCCGCAGCCACCGCCCCCCUGACCCUCCGCCUGGGCAGCCUCCGCGGCGGCGCUCCCCUCCCCCUCCCCGGGCCCGGGGCCGCCUCCCCCGCCCCUUCGGGCUCUCCCUGCCCGCCCCCCGCCUCCUCACCCCUCCCGAUCGCACAGCCCUCCCUUCCUUCCCCCUCCUCUUUUCCUUCCUCCCCUCCCCGGCCCUCUCCUCCCCCACCCCGGCUUCCCUUCCUUCUCCUCUCCUCUCUUCACCUCGGUUCCCUCCCCCUCCGAGGCCCGGUCUCCCUUCCCCCUCCGCCUCCCCGGCAGCCUCUCGCUUCCCUUCCCUCCGGAGCCCCACUCCCCAGAACGGCUCUUCCCAGCCCCCUCCCCGUCCGCUUCCCGAGCCCCACCCCCUCCUCUAGCCGCCCCCCACCCAAACCUCGGGGUCUACGGCUGGGCCGCUCACUCCGACCGCUGUCCCCGGACCUGCGCCCCCCUCCCCGACCCGGCCUCCCAGCCCACCUCCGCGUCCCCUCCCCUCCCACUCGGUGGCCCCCUGCCCCGUUUUUUUUGCUCCCCGCCGACUUCUCAAGUUUCCCCCCGCCAGCCCAGGGACCCCUCCCGCCUCCCCGCCCCCCGCCCCCGUGUGGCCCCCCGCCCGGACCUCGCUCCAGGCGCUCGGGGCUCCCAGGCUCACCUGUCAGCGCCCUUCUCGCGCCCCUCCCGAACGCCGGGUCCCCGCGCCUCCACUUCCUCGCCUUCCCCCGGGCCCCCUCCCCUGAGCCCUCCCCCUCCUCUCCUCGGGCCUCCCCCCCGGACCCCCACGCGGACCCCGGUUCCCGGCGCCCGCCCAGCCCUCCAGGUCUGUCUCUCGGCUCUCCCCGGAGCCCUGACCCCCCCGUCCCACCCAAUCAGGCCCUCCUCCUCCCCUGUCCCAACAUCCCGCUUUCCCCCGGGUCGCGCCCCUCCUGUGCCCUCGGGGCCCCCCCUUUCCCAGCUGCCCCCCACCCCACCCCGCGCUCUCAGCGCCCGCACCCCGGGGGCUGUCACCUGCGCGGCGCGGGCGGCGGCUGCGGGUGCGGCCGGGACGGGCCCCGACGCGGCUCCGACCAGGGCGCCGGGUUCUCCUGCUCCCCCUCGCGGGCUCUGCAGCUCGGGUGCGGACGGCCCGGGAGACUUGACAGACUGACAGCCCCGAAACUUCGCGGGGAGGCGGAGAGGAGAAGACGCGGAGGGAGAGGGAGCAGGGGAGCGGGGGGAGGAGGAGGAAGGGGGGGCGGGUCAGGGAUCGGGUGCCCUGGGGGAGGAGGGGUGCCGAGCCGGGUCCCGGCGGGCAGGUGA
ensembl:lncRNA